UACAGAGGUCUCAAGCGUUGUUCGGAUUCAUUGGGCGUAAAGGGUGCGUAGGCGGCGCGGUAAGUCGGGUGUGAAAUCUCGGGGCUUAACUCCGAAACUGCAUUCGAUACUGCCGUGCUUGAGGACUGGAGAGGAGACUGGAAUUUACGGUGUAGCGGUGAAAUGCGUAGAUAUCAGGAGGAACACCGGUGGCGAAGGCGGGAUCCUGGGCCAGUACUGACGCUGAGGAGCGAAAGCGUGGGGAGCAAACAGG
rnacentral:rRNA from 1 species